rnacentral:rRNA from 1 species
UUAAAUGGCUGCAGUAAUUUGACUGUACAAAGGUAGCAUAAUCAUUAGUUUUUUAAUUAAAAGCUUGAAUGAAAGGUUGGACGAAGUAAAAUCUGUCUCUUUGUAAUAAAAUUAGAAUUUAAUUUUUAAGUUAAAAAGCUUAAAUUUUUAUAAAAGACGAGAAGACCCUAUAGAGUUUAAUAAUUUUUUAAAAAAUAAUUAAUUUAGAUUUAUUACUUUUAUUUUUUAGAAAUUAUUUUAUUGGGGUAAUAAUAAGAUUUAAAUAAUUCUUUUUUUUUAACCAUUAAUUUAUGAAAUAUAUGAUCCAUUAUUUUUAUGAUUAUAAG